rnacentral:rRNA from 1 species
ACUCCUACGGGAGGCAGCAGUAGGGAAUCUUCCACAAUGGGCGCAAGCCUGAUGGAGCAACACCGCGUGAGUGAAGAAGGGUUUCGGCUCGUAAAGCUCUGUUGUUAAAGAAGAACACGUAUGAGGGUAACUGUUCAUACGUUGACGGUAUUUAACCAGAAAGUCACGGCUAACUACGUGCCAGCAGCCGCGGUAAUACGUAGGUGGCAAGCGUUAUCCGGAUUUAUUGGGGCGUAAAGAGAGUGCAGGCGGUUUUCUAAGUCUGAUGUGAAAGCCUUCGGCUUAACCGGAGAAGUGCAUCGGAAACUGGAUAACUUGAGUGCAGAAGAGGGUAGUGGAACUCCAUGUGUAGCGGUGGAAUGCGUAGAUAUAUGGAAGAACACCAGUGGCGAAGGCGGCUACCUGGUCUGCAACUGACGCUGAGACUCGAAAGCAUGGGUAGCGAACAGGAUUAGAUACCCUGGUAGGAUAGCG